rnacentral:misc_RNA from 1 species
GUUCGGUCAUCGCGUGGUGCUUCUGAUCGCAUUUAAGUGCGGGUUGAAUUAUGAAGCUGCAACUAUCAGGGGACACGACUCAUUCUAAACGCAAUCGUAAAAUCAUGAAGAUUCUGUUGACGAUAGCCUGCCUGGUCGGAUUGGUCGCAACUUUCGAGAAAAACAAUCUCACUGUAGUCGACCAGGUGUAUCUGGACAUUAUGAUAGACGAUCAUCCAGUGGGAAGAAUCGUCAUAGGGUUAUUCAGUGAUAUCGUGCCUAAAACUACGAAGAACUUUCUCACUUUAGCCACUACAGGGAUUGGAGGAAAAACUUAUAAGCAUAGCACGUUUCAUCGAGUGAUUAAAAAAUUUAUGAUACAGGGUGGAGAUAUAGAGAAUGGAGACGGUACCGGAUCGAUUAGUAUCUAUGGAAAAACGUUUGACGACGAGAAUUUUGAGAUUGGUCACAAUGCACCCAUGUACGUGAGCAUGGCGAAUGCCGGAAAGAAUACGAAUGGAUGUCAAUUCUUUAUUACGACUAUUCCUACACCCUGGUUAGAUGGGAAGCAUACUGUGUUUGGAAAGGUGAUCGAAGGCGAAGAUGUAGUUUUUAAGAUCGAGCAGACGAAAACGGAUGCUGAUGACGUGCCGAUUAAACCCGUGGUUAUCUUCGAAUGUGGUUCCAUACCUACCCCAUCUCCGUUUAAAGUGGAUGACAAUAUUUACAAAAAUGUAUAAAUUUAAAGUAUAUAUAUAUAUGAGCUUCACUGUAAAUCCUAGUGUUGAAUUAUAUCUUGUAGAGAAAAAAUGCAGUAGAAAAGGAUAUAGUAUAAGAAGUAGAAGUAUCUGGGCAUGGAUAAAAGCAACAUCUAUACCAUUAGGUUUCAGUUUCUCGGUCCUGGCUGUGUUCCAUUAUAUGAUGAAGAAACUAGACGUGUAAUUAUAAUAUAUAUAAAUUUAUUUCAAAAACAGAAGGUUCAGAAGGAUUCAAAAAAUUAUGCUUAUAAUGGAGGUACGAGAAGUAAUGAGAAAAACUAUAUUUCGUAAUUUUAUAGUUACUGAAAGGGAAAGAAAAAAAAAUCACAAGAACGAAUUAUUAUCUCGAAAUAAAACUUUCUAAAACUAAAUCAUAAUUUAAGACACGAGCAACGAGAAUCGUAAAUUAAUUCUAGGAAAAUGCAUUUCUCUUCUUUUUAUAAUGUUUCGUCCAUUCAUAUGUAUCAAGACGCAGUCGCCAUCUGGUAAGGAAUCGAUUGUACUAAUCCAUUGAAUUUGCAAGGAACUUUCAAAUACUUACUCCCGUGAUUUAACACUCGUUAUUUAACAUCUCCACCAUCAUUAUUGAAUCCUGUUAAUGUAGAAGUUCAAAAAAUAACAGGAGCAGAACUAUGCUACGAUCUAAACUCACCUCCAUUCUUUUUUUCAUAAUUUUCCAUCCUUAUUUGAAACCUCCUCCACAGUUCUAACAUCCUGUUAACUUGCGAGCAAAUAACAGGAGCAAAGGUAAGUUAUAAAUUAAAAUUGGUAUUCUGACUAGAGUAUCUUUCUUGUCGUAUAUGAUACCUCUACCAUCGUUCUGCAUUUCUGUUAAUAUCAGAUGAAAAUGACAGUAACUGGAUAAAUCGAAUUGGUGUUCAGAACA